GACGAACGCUGGCGGCGUGCUUAACACAUGCAAGUCGAACGGAAAAGCCCUGCUUUUGUGGGGUGCUCGAGUGGCGAACAGGUGAGUAACACGUGAGUAACCUCCCCUUUACUUUGGGAUACCUUCAGGAAACUGGGGCUCAUACCGGAUAGGAGCUCCUGCUGCAUGGUUGGGGUUGUAAAGUUUCGGCGGUUGGGGAUGGACUCGCGGUUUAUCAGCUUGUUGGUGGGGUAGUGGCGUACCAAGGCUUUGACGGGUAGCCGGCCUGGGAGGGUGACCGGCCACAUUGGGACUGAGAUACGGCCCAGACUCCUACGGGAGGCAGCAGUGGGGAAUAGUGCACGAUGGGCGGAAGCCUGAUGCAGCAACGCCGCGUGCGGGAUGACGGCCGUCGGGUUGUAAACCGCUUUCGCCUGUGACGAAGAGUGAGUGACGGUAAUGGGUAAAGAAGCACCGGCUAACUACGUG
rnacentral:rRNA from 1 species